rnacentral:rRNA from 1 species
UGCAAGUCGAACGGUGAAGCUCAGCUGCUGGGUGGAUCAGUGGCGAACGGGUGAGUAACACGUGAGCAUCUGCCCUGACUCUGGGAUAGCGCUGGAAACGGCGUCUAAUACGGAUACGAACCGUGGAGGCAUCUUCAACGGUGGAAAGAUUUUUUGGUCAGGGAUGAGCUCGCGGCCUAUCAGCUUGUUGGUGAGGUAAUGGCUCACCAGGGCGUCGACGGGUAGCCGGCUGAGAGGGUGACCGGCCACACUGGGACUGAGACACGGCCCAGACUCCUACGGGAGGCAGCAGUGGGGAAUAUUGCACAAUGGGCGAAAGCCUGAUGCAGCAACGCCGCGUGAGGGAUGACGGCCUUCGGGUUGUAAACCUCUUUUAGCAGGGAAGAAGCGAAAGUGACGGUACCUGCAGAAAAAGCGCCGGCUAACUACGUGCCAGCAGCCGCGGUAAUACGUAGGGCGCAAGCGUUAUCCGGAAUUAUUGGGCGUAAAGAGCUCGUAGGCGGUUUGUCGCGUCUGCUGUGAAAUCCCGAGGCUCAACUUCGGGUCUGCAGUGGGUACGGGCAGACUAGAGUGCGGUAGGGGAGAUUGGAAUUCCUGGUGUAGCGGUGGAAUGCGCAGAUAUCAGGAGGAACACCGAUGGCGAAGGCAGAUCUCUGGGCCGUAACUGACGCUGAGGAGCGAAAGGGUGGGGAGCAAACAGGCUUAGAUACCCUGGUAGUCCACCCCGUAAACGUUGGGAACUAGUUGUGGGGUCCAUUCCACGGAUUCCGUGACGCAGCUAACGCAUUAAGUUCCCCGCCUGGGGAGUACGGCCGCAAGGCUAAAACUCAAAGGAAUUGACGGGGACCCGCACAAGCGGCGGAGCAUGCGGAUUAAUUCGAUGCAACGCGAAGAACCUUACCAAGGCUUGACAUAUACGAGAACGCUGCAGAAAUGUAGAACUCUUUGGACACUCGUAAACAG